AUUGAACGCUGGCGGCAUGCUUUACACAUGCAAGUCGAACGGUAACAGGGUGCUUGCACCGCUGACGAGUGGCGAACGGGUGAGUAAUGCGUCGGAACGUGCCGAGUAGUGGGGGAUAACGCAGCGAAAGUUGUGCUAAUACCGCAUACGUACUGAGGUAGAAAGUGGGGGACCUUCGGGCCUCACGCUAUUCGAGCGGCCGACGUCUGAUUAGCUAGUAGGUGAGGUAAAGGCUCACCUAGGCGACGAUCAGUAGCGGGUCUGAGAGGAUGAUCCGCCACACUGGGACUGAGACACGGCCCAGACUCCUACGGGAGGCAGCAGUGAGGAAUAUUGGUCAAUGGGCGCAAGCCUGAACCAGCCAUCCCGCAUGCAGGAUGACGGCCCUAUGGGUUGUAAACUGCUUUUGUACAGGAAGAAAAAUCCCUACGUGUAGGGACCUGCCGGUACUGUACGAAUAAGCAUCGGCCAACUCCGUGCCAGCCGCCGCCGUAA
rnacentral:rRNA from 1 species